GCGGGGGAGUAACUAUUGGAAACGAUAGCUAAUACCGCAUAAGAGUAGAUGUUGCAUGACAUUUGCUUAAAAGGUGCAAUUGCAUCACUACCAGAUGGACCUGCGUUGUAUUAGCUAGUUGGUGAGGUAACGGCUCACCAAGGCAACGAUACAUAGCCGACCUGAGAGGGUGAUCGGCCACACUGGGACUGAGACACGGCCCAG
rnacentral:rRNA from 1 species